UUUUCUGAUCGGAAUGAAACGGCAUUACAAAGGUUCUUGCGAGAUCAUCGGUACACAAGAAAUACUGAAAAAGAGGCUAGUGAUAGUAACACUCAGGAGAGUGCAACAUUGACAGUGGUUCGGGGACCCUUUGUUGCUCUUGUUGACCUGGACGUCAUGGUGUCAUCAUUAGUUGACACGUUCCAUAUGCCCAAUUAUAAGCCGAUAAGCGACGCCUCACAGCUCGUAAUUCACAAGCCGUGCAGCAAAUGGGAGAUGCUGAAAACUAUGUGGAAUAUGGCCUUGAAUACAAGCCAAUUUGCUGACGAACCGCCAGAGUACGCUUUGUCCUUGUUUGUUAACGAGUUCUCAGUCCAUGUCAACAACCCUAACGACGCUGA